rnacentral:rRNA from 1 species
AUUGAACGCUGGCGGCAUGCUUUACACAUGCAAGUCGAACGGUAACAGGCCUUCGGGUGCUGACGAGUGGCGAACGGGUGAGUAAUGCAUCGGAACGUGCCCAAUCGUGGGGGAUAACGUAGCGAAAGUUACGCUAAUACCGCAUAAGCCCUGAGGGGGAAAGCAGGGGAUCGCAAGACCUUGCGCGAAUGGAGCGGCCGAUGUCAGAUUAGCUAGUUGGUGGGGUAAAGGCCUACCAAGGCGACGAUCUGUAGCGGGUCUGAGAGGAUGAUCCGCUACACUGGGACUGAGACACGGCCCAGACUCCUACGGGAGGCAGCAGUGGGGAAUUUUGGACAAUGGGCGCAAGCCUGAUCCAGCCAUGCCGCGUGCGGGACGAAGGCC